CGUUCCCGGGCCUUGUACACACCGCCCGUCAAGCCAUGGAAGCUGGGGGUACCCGAAGUCGGUUCGCGAACCGCAAGGACGCAUCCGCCUAAGGUAAAACCAGUGACUGGGGCU
rnacentral:rRNA from 1 species